rnacentral:ncRNA from 2 species
UAGGUGACGCACGGGAGCCCGGGCAGCGGGCUGAGAGGGGACGCGAGCCGUCCCGACCGUCGAACCUGAUCCGGGUCAUGCCGGCGCAGGGAGCGGAUGG